GGAACGUCUCGUGAACGUCGGCUGCGGCGGUGUUCUUGUGUGUGAGAAAGACCGUGCUGAUGCCAUGCCGUCCGGCGGUCCAAGCUACGGCAGCUACUGCUCUGUCGUGGUGCUUUGACAACGGCAGAACCCAGAAGAAGCCUAUCUUGACUUGGAAUAAAAACAUUGCG
rnacentral:lncRNA from 1 species